rnacentral:rRNA from 1 species
UACGGAGGGAGCUAGCGUUGUUCGGAAUUACUGGGCGUAAAGCGCGCGUAGGCGGCUUUGUAAGUUAGAGGUGAAAGCCCGGGGCUCAACCCCGGAAUUGCCUUUAAGACUGCAUCGCUUGAAUCCGGGAGAGGUGAGUGGAAUUCUGAGUGUAGAGGUGAAAUUCGUAGAUAUUCGCAAGAACACCAGUGGCGAAGGCGGCUCACUGGCCCGGUACUGACGCUGAGGUGCGAAAGCGUGGGGAGCAAACAGG